rnacentral:rRNA from 1 species
CACGUAGUUAGCCGUGGCUUUCUAAUAAGGUACCGUCAAGGUACAGCCAGUUACUACUGUACUUGUUCUUCCCUUACAACAGAGUUUUACGAUCCGAAAACCUUCUUCACUCACGCGGCGUUGCUCCAUCAGGCUUUCACCCAUUGUGGAAGAUUCCCUACUGCUGCCUCCCGUAGGAGUCUGGGCCGUGUCUCAGUCCCAGUGUGGCCGAUCACCCUCUCAGGUCGGCUACGCAUCGUCGCCUUGGUGAGCCGUUACCUCACCAACUAGCUAAUGCGCCGCGGGCCCAUCCUGUAGCGAUAGCAGAACCAUCUUUCAACUUUCAAACAUGUGUCCAAAAGUAUCAUUCGGUAUUAGCACCGGUUUCCCGAAGUUACUCCCCAUCUACAAGGUAGGUUGCCCACGUGUUACUCCACCCGUCCGCCGCUAGCGUUACUCGGUGCAAGCACCAAAGUACACCGCUCGACUUGCAUGUAUUAGGCACGCCGCAGCGUUCGUCCUGACGCCAGGACGUCAAACC